AUCCCAUGAGUCAUUCAGUCUGGAGAGUUUAUCCGAAGACAAAUGUAUACUCAAAUCUAGUAAAGGAAAUGAUCGUUUAACCAAAGGAAUGGUCUAUCAAAUCAGAUCACCAAAAGAUCAAGCAUUAAUUUAUGCUUUAUGGAAUGGUGAAAAGUUUGAAGAUCUGAAAGAUGAAGAUUUGAAAGCUAUCCAGUCAAAAACUGGUAAGCAAAGACUGCAUAAUGUAGCUGGUCAAAGGUCAUUGGCUGGACCAAUCACAAAUAGGUGAG
rnacentral:sRNA from 1 species